AUUGAACGCUGGCGGCAUGCCUUACACAUGCAAGUCGAACGGCAGCACGGGUGCUUGCACCUGGUGGCGAGUGGCGAACGGGUGAGUAAUACAUCGGAACGUACCUUAUCGUGGGGGAUAACGCAGCGAAAGCUGUGCUAAUACCGCAUACGCCCUGAGGGGGAAAGCGGGGGAUCGCAAGACCUCGCGCGAUUAGAGCGGCCGAUGCCUGAUUAGCUUGUUGGUGGGGUAAAAGCCCACCAAGGCGACGAUCAGUAGCUGGUCUGAGAGGACGAUAAGCCACACUGGGACGGAGACACGGCCCAGACUCCUACGGGAGGCAGCAGUGGGGAAUUUUGGACAAUGGGGGCAACCCUGAUCCAGCAAUGCCGCGUGAGUGAAGAAAGCCUUCGGGUUGUAAAGCUCUUUUGUCAGGGAAGAAACGCCGGCUCUAACACAGUCUGGGAAUGACGGUACCUGAAGAAUAAGCACCGGCUAACUACGUGCCAGCCGCCGCCGUAA
rnacentral:rRNA from 1 species